AAGGUGUUGAUGAUGAAGAAAAGAAAAGUUUCUUUGAUCAGCUGCUGUAUCCUGGAAAUAUUAAAUGGUCUCUGUUGAUUUCCAAGUCCAAGCAGCAAAAGUUUAACAUC